UGUUAGAUAUAUUUUAUUCAGUCUUUUUUCCUAAUGGAAACUUUACAUAAAGAUUAUAUGUUGAUUAUAUGACUAUAUAACACCUAGAACUUAUCAGCUAGCCUGUACUUUUUGAAUUGUAUUUUUCAAAUUAAAACUUGUAAUUAAUGAAGGUCAUCAUAUUUAUGUGCGACUAUAAUACGCAUGCUUAAAUUUGAACGCAAAAUGAGAAGCCCCCCCCCCCUCCCCCUCUUACUAAACCGUCCGAUGGAUAUGCUAUUUUCAACAGCUGAAAGCUGUGUAACGGAAAGAAAACCCGUGAGUUCCGACGGUUGAAAGCAGUGUAACGGAUCCAUGGGUUCAGAAGAGAGUAUAAAAAGUUAAACAAUAAGGAUCUUUUUUGCAGGUUCUGGAACAUGCAGUUUGAAAUAACGAAAACCUGGGAUAGUAGAAACCUUGAUCAUCCACCUGUCCAGCUGUCUAUCAAAGCAGCCAAAGAUGGACUUGAAAUCAUAGUUAAAGCCCCCUUUUUCAACGACCCAGGAAAUCCCGGAGGAGAGUCUGGUCAACCAUUUCAAAAUCUGUGGGACUAUGAAGUGGUUGAGGCAUUUUUUCUAAAUGACGACAAUCAGUAUUUGGAGGUUGAGCUCUGUCCGUGAGUAUUUACUAUUCUACUUUGUGUCCCAUACAUGUACAUGUAGUAAAACGUGUUUUUAUAUGUCAACAUACAUUUGCACUCUGUUCAAGCCAUAUUAAUUCUUUACACUGCACUUUCAUGAUGUUAGGCACGUAGCAACAAGGGGGGGGGGAAUAUAAGGUCAUGCAGACCCAUCCGCUUUUCAAAAAAAAGUACCAAUACCCUUUUAUAGGCUUAUUUUAAAGAAGAAAAUAAAAACGUACGUGUACAAUUCAAUUGGAUCCUCAACUUUGGCCCCUCCACUUUAAAAAAAAAACCCGAUGCUACGUGCCCGCAUGAAGAGUUUCAUGUAUGAGUUUAUUACAAUAUAUCAGAUUCCAUCAUUUAUUAGACAUGGCCAGCACAUUGUAUUGCUAUUGAAGGGCUACAGGCAACCCUUUGCUGACUUGCUGCCUUUGAAAUACACCUCAUCCAUAGGCGGGGACACAUGGGAAGGAACUGCUACGAUUCCUUUGUCAUAUUUUCCGCCUAAUGUUUCUAAGUUUAAUGCUUACGCAAUACAUGGUUCAGGAUCUUUAAGAACGUACGAGGCUCUAUAUCCAGCGCCAGAUGGCAGCCACACCGAUCCCGACUUUCACAGACUAGAGUAUUUCCAAAGGAUUGACUUCCGGACUCUCCUUCCGCAAAACUGGGCACCAGAUUACCAGUCUAAAGAAUGGGAAUCCGUCUUAAAAUGAACUUUUCCGGAUUUGUGCAAAUUAGAAUGUUCAUUUAAUGUUGAUGUAUUCUACAUGUGAAAUACAAAUAUCAUUAGCUGUUGAUAAAAACCUGUAACUCUCCUUGUAAUAUACACGUAUCAUACGAUCAUUUAGUAUUGAUAUUAAAGCUCAUUAAUGUAUAUUUAAUAAUAUUUGAAUUAUCAAACUUUUCAAGAUUUAUGUCAUUUUAUUUUCUAUUUAUUUUUUUUUAAAUUACCCUCAUUUAGCAACACGUACAUUGUUCUGAUCUCAAAAUCCAAUUGAAAUAAAAGUUAAAUAUCC
rnacentral:misc_RNA from 1 species